UGGGGAAUUUUGGACAAUGGGCGCAAGCCUGAUCCAGCCAUGCCGCGUGCAGGAUGAAGGCCUUCGGGUUGUAAACUGCUUUUGUACGGAACGAAAAGGUGCCUUCUAAUAAAGGGCGCUCAUGACGGUACCGUAAGAAUAAGCACCGGCUAACUACGUGCCAGCAGCCGCGGUAAUACGUAGGGUGCGAGCGUUACUCGGAAUUACUGGGCGUAAAGCGUGCGCAGGCGGUUUUGUAAGACAGAGGUGAAAUCCCCGGGCUCAACCUGGGAACUGCCUUUGUGACUGCAAGGCUGGAGUGCGGCAGAGGGGGAUGGAAUUCCGCGUGUAGCAGUGAAAUGCGUAGAUAUGCGGAGGAACACCGAUGGCGAAGGCAAUCCCCUGGGCCUGCACUGACGCUCAUGCACGAAAGCGUGGGGAGCAAACA
rnacentral:rRNA from 1 species